AGGCCAGUAGCUCUAAUGGUAGAGCGUCGGUCUCCAAAAUCGAAUGUUGUGGGUUCGAGUCCUACCUGGCCUG
rnacentral:tRNA from 1 species